UAGCGAGGGGGGCAAGCGUUUGUUCGGAAUUAUUGGGCGUAAAGGGUGCGUAGGCGGUUUGACAAGUCUGAUGUGAAAUCUAUGGGCUCAACCCAUAGUCUGCAUUAGAAACUGUCGGGCUUGAGUAUGGGAGAGGUGAUGGAAUUUCCGGUGUAGCGGUGAAAUGCGUAGAUAUCGGAAGGAACACCUGUGGCGAAAGCGGCUCACUGGACCACAACUGACGCUGAGGCGCGAAAGCUAGGGGAGCAAACAGG
rnacentral:rRNA from 1 species